rnacentral:rRNA from 1 species
UACGGGGGGGAGCAAGCGUUGUUCGGAUUUACUGGGCGUAAAGGGCGCGUAGGCGGUCAGCACAAGUCAGUUGUGAAAUCUCCGGGCUUAACUCGGAAAGGUCAACUGAUACUGUGCGACUAGAGUGCAGAAGGGGCAACUGGAAUUCUCGGUGUAGCGGUGAAAUGCGUAGAUAUCGAGAGGAACACCUGCGGCGAAGGCGGCAUCCUGGACUACUACUGACGCUGAGGGAGCGAAAGCCAGGGGAGCAAACGGG